AAGCAAAGUGUGCAUGUAAAAUAAAGCGAAUGUGUAUUGGCCUGUGCUAGUAUCACAUCAUAUAGAAACCAUUUCUUAGAUCUGUGAUAAGCUGGGAGUAUAUAGACUGCUUUGUCGAUUGCCUCACUAUCUCUUUAACUAUAUAAUCUUUAAGCUUUUGUCAGUGUUGGUUUUUGUAACAUUGACUGUGCCUAGACAUACAGUUCAAACAUUUCUUACCCUAGAUUCACAUGUAAGGGUGCAAC